AUUAGACUACCCUGUACGUCCCAGCCGUAACUAUGCUCGCUAGGUGUCAGGCAUGGCGCGACCGUGUCUGGUGCCGCAGGGAAGCCGUGAAGCGAGCCACCUGGGAAGUACGGCCGCAAGGCUGAAACUUAAAGGAAUUGGCGGGGGAGCACAACAACGGGUGGAGCCUGCGGUUUAAUUGGACUCAACGCCGGACAACUCACCGGGGACGACAGCAAUAUGUAGGCCAGGCUGAAGACCUUGCCUGAAUCGCUG
rnacentral:rRNA from 1 species